ACGAACGCUGGCGGCGUGCUUAACACAUGCAAGUCGAACGGAAAGGCCCUGCUUUUGUGGGGUGCUCGAGUGGCGAACGGGGGAGUAACACGUGAGUAACCUGCCCUUGACUUUGGGAUAACUUCAGGAAGCUGGGGCUAAUACCGGAUAGGAGCUCCUGCUGCAUGGUGGGGGUUGGAAAGUUUCGGCGGUUGGGGAUGGACUCGCGGCUUAUCAGCUUGUUGGUGGGGUAGUGGCUUACCAAGGCUUUGACGGGUAGCCGGCCUGAGAGGGUGACCGGCAACAUUGGGACUGAGAUACGGCCCAGACUCCUACGGGAGGCAGCAGUGGGGAAUAUUGCACAAUGGGCGGAAGCCUGAUGCAGCAACGCCGCGUGCGGGAUGACGGCCUUCGGGUUGUAAACCGCUUUCGCCUGUGACGAAGCGUGAGUGACGGUAAUGGGUAAAGAAGCACCGGCUAACUACGUG
rnacentral:rRNA from 1 species